AUGGCGAGCCCGGCGCCCCCGGAGCCCGCCGAGCAGGGAGCCCCGGCUCCCGCCGCCGCCCCGCAGGCGCCGCAGCCGCCGCCCCGGGCUCCCCCCGAGGAGCCGGAGGGGGCCGCGCCCCCAGAGGAGGGGGCGGCGGCGGGCGCGGGCCGGCAGGUGGAGGAGGCCGCGGGCGGGGUGGCCGCCGGUGCUGACCUGGCUGCUCGGGGAGCCGGCGCUGUGGCUGGGCAGCCGCGCCGACGAGCUCCUGAGCUGGAAGAGGCCGCUGCACAGCCUGCUCGCCUUCGUCGGGGCCAACCUGGUGUUCUGGUUCCUUGCACUGACUCCAUGGAGAGUGUAUCAUCUGAUUUCCGUCAUGAUCCUUACACGUGUUAUUAUGCAGAUAAUAAAGGAUAUGAUUUUGUCUAGAACAAGAGGUGCACAGUUGUGGAGGAGCCUCAGUGAAAGCUGGGAAGUUAUCAAUUCUAAACCGGAUGAAAGACCCGGGUUCAGCCACUGUCUUGCAGAAUCAUGGAUGAACUUCAGCAUAUUUCUUCAAGAAAUGUCUGUGUUUAAACAGCAGAGCCCUGGCAAGUUUUGUCUCCUGGUCUGCAGCAUAUGCACCUUUUUUACCAUCUUGGGCAGCUACAUUCCUGGAGUUGUACUCAGCUAUCUACUGUUGCUGUGUGCAUUUUUGUGUCCACUGUUCAAGUGUAAUGAUAUCGGACAAAAAAUAUACAGCAAAAUCAAGUCAUUUCUCCUGAAGCUAGAUUUUGGAAUCAGAGAAUAUAUUAACCAGAAGAAACGUGAGAGAGCUGAAGCAGAAAAAGAAAAAAGUCACAAAGAUGACAGUGAAUUAGACUUUUCAGCUCUUUGUCCUAAGAUUAGCCUCACCACUGCCGCCAAAGAAUUGUCUGUGUCUGACACCGAUGUGUCUGAGAUCUCCUGGACGGACAAUGGGACCUUCAACCUCUCAGAAGGAUACACUCCACAGACAGACACUUCUGAUGAUCUUGACCGACCUAGUGAGGAAGUUUUCUCUCGAGACCUUUCAGAUUUUCCAUCACUAGAAAAUGGCACGGGAACAAAUGAUGAAGAUGAAUUGAGCCUUGGCCUGCCCACUGAGCUCAAGAGGAAAAAGGAGCAGUUGGACAGCGGUCCCAGGCGGAGCACAGAGAAGAAGUCAGCAGCUGGUCUCACCCUUCCUCUGAGCAGUGACCAGACCCUGCACCUGAUGAGCAACCUGGCUGGGGACGUCAUCACGGCUGCGGUGACCGCCGCAGUCAAAGACCAGUUAGCGGGCGUGCGCCAAGCGCUGUCUCAGGCUGCUCCCAGCCCGGGGGAGGACACAGACACGGAGGAGGGCGAUGACUUUGAACUCCUGGACCAGUCAGAGCUCGAUCAAAUUGAGAGUGAAUUGGGACUGUCACAAGACCAGGAAGCAGAAGCCCAGCAAAAUAAGAAGUCUGCAGGUUUCCUUUCAAAUCUGCUCGGAGGCCAUUAGUCUGGGAAUCGGCUUAUUAUGGCAGAGCACAAACUACCAAAAAAAAUUCAAACAAGCAAAAAAAAAAUCAAAUCUUUUCAAACUGUGAGCUUUACUGAUUACUUUAGAAUUUUUUUGGUCUUUCCCCACCUCCUUCUGCAGUGAAUUCAUUGGAUAUAUGUCAGCUGACACUGAUAGAUUGAUAUUUCUCAUAGUUAUUUUUAUGUAAUGAGCAUGGAAAUGACUUUAUAUAUAUGUAUAUAUAUAUACACCCCCACUUACUGUGUUGUCGGAGUUGAAUAUUCGAGGUUGUUUUUAAAGUAAAAUGAAAACACCCAAUUAUUGAGAUCCUCCCAUAAGUAUUCCUUACGUUUUCUUCACAAUUUUUCAAGCAUGCAAAAGCAGGUUUAUUGUAACUCACUGAAAUAUUAACAAUUGUGAACACAUGCUAUAUUGGCUCCUUGUUCCUAAUACUUGGACACAGUUAAAAAUUUUUGGUGGAUUUUGACAUAAAAAGACAAAAAUCGUCAAAGUCACUUUGGUUGAAAGACUUGGGAAAUACUAUUAAAAUCAAUUUCCUAGGCUAAUUUUUUGAAAAUAUAUUUACGUUGGAUAGGCUGACACAUUUCCAUGUUAUUUCUGCAGUUGUAGACUUUAGGCUUCCUUGUAAAUGGCAUGCUCCAUUGACUGCCAGCUCGAGUCUUGGCAAUGGGUGAUAUUAGCGCGUAGAAAGCAAGUACUUAGAUAUCACGUGUCUACGUGGUUUUGAUGUAAACAGAGAUAGGCUGCACUUCCUUGUUUCAGUUGUCAUGUAUUUGUGAUAAGGAUAUUGUGGGUGCAGAUCUCUUCUGCCUGCUCAGAACUAGGUUAAACCCUCAUCUUUCAUAUUACGGAAAAAGUCUCUUAAAAUAGUUCCUGGUAUGUUCUAUGAGUGAAGUGGUCAUCCACCAUAGAGAAAUAAGAACUGUUUUCAUAGUCCGACUCCCUGGCAGGAGAGAGACUUGCUUGGCCUUCAAGUGUAUUUAUUUGCCAUUGAAGUCAAAACCUGUAAUCUGUUUCUUCUUAGGAAGCUAGAAUAUAUAUUUUCUUUUACUUUAAACAUUUUAGAUCACUUAUAAAUAAUCAAAUUUGACUUAGGUUUUUAACAAAGGACUAAAGAACAGAAAUCAAGCUAAUUCUGUUUGUGCGAUAGAAACCUUUAAUAGUGACGAGGGACCAUGUCAGCAGCUACCAACCAUCUCUUCAAUUUUCAGGUAGAGCUGGCAUUUCGACAGAUACACACAGACACCUGAGCCCCUCAGAAAGGAAGGAUAAUCCAAGAAUACAGGAAAUCUGCGGUCCCCUCUCUUUACUUCAUCCCUUCCCUUCUGUGUCUAAAGAGUGAUAAUACAUCAUCUGACAUUUUAAUGUAGCAUCUCAUAUUUAGUUUUUCUUUCUGAGGUAUUAAAAUAUGUAGACUAAAUUUUGCCAAAUGUUAAAGGGAGAGAAGUGACUGAAGACCCUGACCGCUUGCUUUUCGUGAUUGACGAUGCUUCCGUGUUACUAGUGCCUCAUGACUGUGUUUGAUGUCCUUUAUCAAUACAAAAGUGAGCCUGUGCCUUCAUCAUCUUGCCCAUUUCGGUACAAAUGGAAACCUGGUGUUAGAUCUAUGAGCUGUGUGGGUUUGCGAGGAAUAUCCCUGACUUCUGUUUCAGCAAGAGUUUCUGGACAUGGAGAAAAAUACAGUCACGUAUUUAUAAAAUA